CCUACGGGUGGCAGCAGUGAGGAAUAUUGGUCAAUGGUCGGGAGACUGAACCAGCCAAGCCGCGUGAGGGAUGAAGGUACAGAGUAUCGUAAACCUCUGUUGUCAGGGAACAAAGGCGGGGACGUGUCCCCGGAGGAGUGUACCUGAAGAAAAAGCAUCGGCUAACUCCGUGCCAGCAGCCGCGGUAAUACGGAGGAUGCGAGCGUUAUCCGGAUUUAUUGGGUUUAAGGGGGGCGCAGGCGGUCUGUUAAGUCAGCGGUCAAAGCCCGGGGCUCAACCCCGGCCCGCCGUUGAAACUGGCAGUCUCGAGUUGGAGAGAAGGAUGCGGAAUGCGCGGUGUAGCGGUGAAAUGCAUAGAUAUCGCGCAGAACUCCGAUUGCGAAGGCAGCAUGCCGGCUCCACACUGACGCUGAGGCACGAAAGCGUGGGUAUCGAACAGGAUUAGAUACCCCAGUAGUC
rnacentral:rRNA from 1 species